rnacentral:rRNA from 1 species
UUUGUCCUACGGGGCGCAGCAGUGGGGAAUAUUGGGCAAUGGGCGCAAGCCUGACCCAGCAACGCCGCGUGAAGGAAGAAGGCUUUCGGGUUGUAAACUUCUUUUCUCAGGGACGAAGAAAGUGACGGUACCUGAGGAAUAAGCCACGGCUAACUACGUGCCAGCAGCCGCGGUAAUACGUAGGUGGCAAGCGUUAUCCGGAUUUACUGGGUGUAAAGGGCGUGUAGGCGGGAGUGCAAGUCAGAUGUGAAAACCACGGGCUCAACCUGUGGCCUGCCUUUGACA